AUUGAACGCUGGCGGCAUGCUUUACACAUGCAAGUCGAACGGCAGCGCGGGCUUCGUCCUGGCGGCGAGUUACGAACGGGUGAGUAAUUCAUCGGAACGUGCCCAGUAUUGGGGGAUAGCCCGGCUAAAGCCGGAUUAAUACCGCAUACGACCUUAUGGUGAAAGCGGGGGACCGAAAGGCCUCGCGCUAUUUGAGCUGCCGAUGUCGGAUUAGCUAGUUGGUGGGGUAAAGGCUUACCAAGGCGACGAUCCGUAGCUGGUCUGAGAGGACGACCAGCCACACUGGAACUGAGACACGGCCCAGACUCCUACGGGAGGCAGCAGUGGGGAAUUUUGGACAAUGGGGGCAACCCUGAUCCAGCCAUGCCGCGUGAGGGAAGAAGGCCUUCGGGUUGUAAACCGCUUUUGUUAGGGAAGAAAUUCUCUGGGCUAAUACCCCGGGGGGAUGACGGUACCGGAAGAAUAAGCACCGGCUAACUACGUG
rnacentral:rRNA from 1 species